CUUUAAUAUUGUCAAUGCUGUGGAGAAUUAUGGAAUAUCAGUUGUUACCACUGAUGAUGACAUCUUGGAUAAGCUCAACAAAAAAUGGAAAAUUGACCAACUUGAUGUCUCUGAUUCCUUUGGUAUGAGUCAGUCUGAGUUCCAAUCUGCUGGUGGUGAAUGCUCUAAGGAUGGUGAUUCUUACAUUGGGGAUAACACCACACCUGUUUCAAAGGAUUACGUGGGUGA